GAUGAACGCGGCGGCGUGCUUAACACAUGCAAGUCGAACGAAGCUGCUAAAAGGAAGCCUUCGGGUGGAAUUUUGGUAGACUUAGUGGCGGACGGGUGAGUAACGCGUGGAUAACCUGCCUUAUACAGGGGGAUAACGGAGAGAAAUUUCCGCUAAGACCGCAUAAGACCACAGCACCGCAUGGUGCAGGGGUAAAAUAUUUAUAGGUAUAAGAUGGAUCCGCGUCCGAUUAGCUGGUUGGUGAGGUAGAGGCUCACCAAGGCGACGAUCGGUAGCCGGCCUGAGAGGGUGAACGGCCACAUUGGGACUGAGACACGGCCCAAACUCCUACGGGAGGCAGCAGUGGGGAAUAUUGGACAAUGGGGGAAACCCUGAUCCAGCGACGCCGCGUGAGUGAAGAAGUAUUUCGGUAUGUAAAGCUCUAUCAGCAGGGAAGAAAAUGACGGUACCUGACUAAGAAGCCCCGGCUAACUACGUGCCAGCAGCCGCGGUAAUACGUAGGGGGCAAGCGUUAUCCGGAUUUACUGGGUGUAAAGGGAGCGCAGACGGCGAAGCAAGUCUGAAGUGAAAUGCAUGGGCUCAACCCAUGAAUUGCUUUGGAAACUGUUUGGCCUGAGUGUCGGAGGGGUAAGCGGAAUUCCUAGUGUAGCGGUGAAAUGCGUAGAUAUUAGGAGGAACACCGGAGGCGAAGGCGGCUUACUGGACGACAACUGACGUUGAGGCUCGAAGGCGUGGGGAGCAAACAGG
rnacentral:rRNA from 1 species